GCGGCGGAGGAGGAGGGUAGGUUGCGCCCGGGACUGUGUCUGCCGAGCUCCGCGGCUGUGCCUGUGUGAGUGAAGGAGCGGCGCGGGGAGGCAGAGACGAGCGCGGGCGAGCGCAGCGGCGGGACGUCUCCGGCGGCCGCGGACAAGCGGUGGCGCCUGGUGUGGGGAAGCAGCGGCGGCAACAGCAGUAGCAGCAGCAGCGGCGGCCGCCUCUCCGCCGCCGGAGACGCCGAGGCACGGCUGGUGGCACUGACAUCGGCGGCCCUGCCUCUUCUCUCUCGCCCCCGGCCCUCCCCAUGUGAUCGGUCUUAAUCCCGGCAGAGUGCGCGCGUGGGGCUCCAUUCCGCGGUGCCCGGUUUCCUUGCCAGGGUGGGUGCUCCUGUGUGCGCUUCUCCUCCCCAUCCCCCUUCCCCCAAGAAUAAAAGAAGAACCAAGAGGCGUGCUUAGAAAAUAAAUAAAUAACCACCACACACGCGCAGCCCGGAGCGGAGUCGGCGGGGCUGGCGGCGGCGGCGGAGGAGGAGUGAAGGCGGCGGCGGCGGCGAAGGAGGAGGAGGUGGAGGAGGAGGAGGAGGAGGAGGAGGGACGCGCGAGAAGGCAGUAACUUUAAAGCCAGCUCAGAGCCCAGACCUCCAGCCGAGCGGUUUGCAGCGCGGCGGCGGCGGCGUUGAGUGUCUGGCCCGCCGGUCCGGUCGGGGUGUGCAUUAGGACGGACGAGCAGCGCGUCGCUGUCCCCCGGCGGCUGGAGAUGUCCGAGCCAAAGGCAAUUGAUCCCAAGUUGUCGACGACCGACAGGGUGGUGAAAGAACUGAAAUGCACAUGUGGAUAAUAUAGGAACAUAGGGAAGUCUCAAAAUAGGAAAAGUAAUACCAUGAUGUGACGGCUUUCUUGAUUUGUACUUCCAGAAUGCAACUUUAGAAAGUUGAAGAAAUGGAGACAGAAUAGAUAGAAUGGUCGGUCACAGGUGGGACUAGAAUGCAGCAAAAUAUGAUGGUCUGUCUGACUUUCUAUGAACUAUCUCCUGGAACUGGAAAUUCUGCGAAUGUCUGCAGAAAGCAAAACAAACAAAUAGAUACCAGAGAUUUAUGUAACAGCUGCCUCCAGAUUAUGACAUGCCACCUUACAAUGUUUGUCAGUUUCAGGUACCUUUCUACAGUUAUAAAACCAGAAGAAUGAUGGUUGAUGUUGAGACAUAGAGCUUUAUUUAUAUGGAGCUAAAUUUUAAAAAAAUCCCAUCAGCUCUAAGGUUCUAAGACUUAGAGUCUCUUCUUAUAGUAACUGUCUAGAUCCACUUUAUUUUUAUCUUUCUGGGGAAGGAGCUACUACUUCUGAUAUAAAAUGUUCAGUUGUCUCUAUGUAGCAUUAGAAUGUUUUGGAGAUUCUAGUAUGUCGGUGUCUAAACUGUGUCUCCCAGGAUGCUGCGUAUGCUUGGAAGGUACAUAAAAUUGUUUGUUAAUAUGUAUAUUCAGAGUUUUAGUUUGAAAACUAUGGUCAUUGCCCCAGUGGUGCCUGGCUCAGUGCCUUGCUUCUUAGGCACUGAAUCUGUUCUUGUCAAAUGACUUUGGACAUUGUACAGUUCUGACGUGUGCCUCCUAAAGCAAUAAAUGGAGACAGAUUAUAUGUUUAUUUUGAGCUCAUUAUACUCUGAUUCUUUGUAAAUUGUUCUAUGAUGACUGUAUGGUUAAUUGGAAUGCUUCCUUCUCCAGCCAUAUCAGGGAAUACAGUAUGAGAAGGAGAUAUUAAUAAGGUUAUAUAAUUAGAUUGAAGGCAGUUUUGUUGUUUGGUCAUUUGCACUGGCCUUAUGCCAGUUGGGUUUAAAAGACUAAAUCCUUUUCACUGUAAUAUAUUAGCUUGAACUUGAAAGCUUUCUUUCAGUUUUUGUCGUAUUUCCCCAUAGACUGAUCAGAUUUUGACAGGUGAGAAAAAAUAUGUUAAUCACUCAGUAUUUGACAUAUUGGGUGAUAUAUAUUUUUUAUUGUUUAGAUUUGGACUUGAAGAGAAAAGGACCUGGCAAAUUCCAUGAAAAAACAAACAAAACCAAGACCAGAAAAAAACCCUCUUCCUUUGUUUACAUCUCAAUUUAUCAUUUUCUGUAAUGCUUUUGUAAUUCAGAAAUGCAGCCUUCUUCAGCAUAACCUCCUGCCCUCCUCCUGCCCUCCUCUGGCCCCCAAAAUGUCAUUGGAUUCUAUCCAGUGGGAAGAUAUAUGGGCUAUGAGAAGUUAAAAAAAUGUGGCACCAACUCUGCUGACUCCUUAUAUUUUCCUAAGUGGGCUUUAAGCCAUCCGUUGACAUGUGUUUUUAAACAUCCUGUAAGCUCUGCCAUUUUAUCAAAUUAAAUUAAAAGCACAAUAUAUUGUCUUACAAUGACAGAACCUGAGUCAGGACUUCCAAGUUUAUGUUGUUGUUGUUGUUGUUGUUAUUUUGCUUUUUACAAAGGAAUUAAAUUUUUUUUUCAUUAUACCUGGCAUCGUUGGUCUGCUAUGCAUAUUUAAUGUUAAUAAAGUACAUGCGUACCUUCU